GAUGAAGAACGUAGCGAAAUGCGAUAAGUAGUGUGAAUUGCAGAAUUCCGUGAAUCAUCGAAUCUUUGAACGCACAUUGCGCCCCUUGGUAUUCCGGGGGGCAUGCCUGUUCGAGCGUCAUUACAACCCUCAAGCUCUGCUUGGUCUUGGGCGUCACCGGUCCCCGGUGUGCCUUAAAAUCAGUGGCGGCGCCAUCUGGCUCUAAGCGUAGUACAUACUCUCGCUACAGACGUCCGGUGGAUGCUGGCCAGCAACCCCCAAUUUAUCAAGGUUGACCUCGGAUCAGGUAGGGAUACCCGCUGAACUUAAGCAUAUCAAUAAGCGGAGGA
rnacentral:misc_RNA from 1 species